UUACGGCCAUAUCACUUUGAAACACCGGUUCUAGUACGAUCAAGCAACGUUGAGCCAGAUCAGUACCGUGAUGGGUGACCUCUUGGGAACACUAGUUGCCGUAAG